rnacentral:pre_miRNA from 1 species
AAAAAGACAAACCCUAGAUUUCCGUGUCUAACUUUGACUGUCCGUCUUAUAUGAAACUUUUUUAUAAUUCGUAUUUUCAUUGUUGUUAGAUGAUAAAACAUGAUUAAUAUUUUAUGUGUGACUUAUCUUUUUAAUUUUUUUCAUAAUUUUUUAAAUAAGACGGACAGUCAAACCAGUGUUUGUC